AUACAGUUAGAUAAUUUUUAAUAGGAUGAUUGGUUUCAUUGUACCUUUGUACACAGAUUUAAUGCGAGUGACCUUCUAGAGAGGAGCAGGAAUGGAAGAAUAGUGUUUGCUGGAGACUCCAUUGCAAGAAACCAAUGGGAGUCCUUCCUAUGCAUGUUAGGCCAAGGAGUUCAUAACAAGUCAACCAUAUAUGAAGAACAUGGAAAACCCAUAACUAAACACAAGGGCUUCCUCUCUAUGCGUUUCAGUGAAUACAAUCUCACAGUUGAAUACUACAGAGUACCCUUUCUUGUGGUCGUCGGUCGGCCUGCACUUAAUUCUUCUACUGAAGUCAAAAUGACCAUUAAGGUCGACCAAAUGCAUUGGUUCUCCAGAAAGUGGGUCGGAGCAGAUAUUUUGGUUUUCAGUGGAGGCCAUUGGUGGAAUGAAGAUAAAACAGUCAAGAUGUUUGAUCCUCUGUUCCUCCUACUUAACCUUUUUUUCUUUUUGGUUGAUUAACUAAUUGGGCUUCUUUUGUUAUGUGCUCAGGGGCUGCUAUUUUGAGGAUGGAGGAAAAGUGAAUACGUCGAUGAGUGUGAUGGAAGCAUUUCAAAGAUCUCUGCAAACAUGGAAGUCAUGGGCAUUACAGAAUUUAGAUCGCGAGAGUUACAUUUUCUUUCGCAGCUUCUCUCCAGUACAUUACAGGUAAGUAUUCUCAACUUACAGGAAAAAGGAAGAGAGAGGUUGGGGCAUCUGUAUCAAUUCACAGUUUAAGACCAUAGAUCGUCCUUCAAAAUUUUAAUGAGUGAAAUUGCAGGAAUGGAACAUGGAAUACCGAGGGUCGAUGUGAUGUGGACAUGCAACCUGAGACAAACUACAUGAAUCUAGAGCCUGAGCCUGUGAAUAAUCAAUUGAUUUCCGAUAUGAUCAAACAAAUGGAAUUGGAAUACAGAAAUAGCAAAGUUCAGUAUUUAAACAUCACAUAUCUGACACAGUUCAGGUUUGAUGGACACCCUUCAGUCCACCGCGAGCCAGGCACUCCAGUUCCUGCUCCACAAGACUGCAGCCACUGGUGCUUGCCCGGAGUACCAGAUGUAUGGAAUGAAAUUCUAUAUGCUCAUUUACGGUCAAUGGGAUUCAAAACCAAGUGAUAUUACCUGGCCAAAAAAGAAGAAUGAACAAUUUCUUGGUCGCUUGCCUUGCAAGUUCUGUUAUAUUGUCAGGGCAGUAUAUAAUCUGGGCUGCAUCUAACUAGGAUAAUUCCUUUUCAUUCUCGUUGGCAUCAGCUUCACUGACUUCCAUUUCCUUCACUUUCUCAAGCUGCCGCAAGAGCUCCAACCUUUCUGGUCCAUAAGUGGAAGGGAUCAAAGCUGGCACAUAUCGCUGAAUAGCUGCCAACAUAGCUGCAUGCCCAACAGCAGUAACAGGUAGAAGCAUUAGAACACCAAUAGGAACAACUGAAGCCAAAUCAGUCAGUGUUCUCUGGAGAGCCUUUUUUUCUUUUUCUGUUAACUCAUCUCCAAUCAAGAUCCUCCUAAGCAACUCCAUUGCAGCAGUAACAUCAAUAGCUAGAAGCUGAGUUCCUUGCAAGACAUCCGUGCUAGUUUUCUUUAACUUGUCCAAUGAUUUUGCUAUGAUAUUUUCUUUCUUUUGAACUUGGACCAAUUGAGCACUUCCAGCAUCACCAAGGUAAUUAGCAGUGUCAUCAGUCUCUUUAGUUUCCUCCUCAUUUUCAGAUUGAUCAGUGCUUCUUUGAACCCGUUUUUCUAGUUCAAUAAGCUCAUUUCGUAGGAGUUCGAAACGGAGAAUGUCAUUUGAUUCUGAGUCUGUAACACCUGCAUUUAGAGUGUUCUGCCCAAUAUAAUCAUCUCCAGAUCCAUCUGUCACUGUGAAGUCAGGAUCAGACUUCUUGGUCGGAAAGCGUGCAAAGAAGCUCCAGAGUCCUCUAGAUUUACUGUUGGUCCUAUCUAGUCUUAUCUUAAAAAUUUUUCUCCUUUUCCCUUUUAAGUAUGGUUGGUGCUCACUAACAGAAGACUGCGAAUUACUUUCAUCAUCUCCCUGCUGAAGAGAAGCUGCUUUUGCUCUGAAAGAUGCCUCCAGAAAUUCAGCCUCUUUUUUAAGUUUCCUUAUUUUCUCAAGAUCAGAACAAGCAGCUUUUAAUUGCUCUUUUCCAGAAUUAGAGCUUGAUACAUGCAACUCCUCAAGUAACUUUUCUAGUCUUAUCAGAGCUUCUUCAACACUCUCCAAUGCCUUGUCAAAAGAAUCCAUCUCUUUGGCUAUUGGUGAAAAAAUUGCACAUCCUGUUCUCUCAGCAAAAUUGUUCUUGCUAUCUUUCAUUUUCCUGCAACAUACUUUCUUUAAGAGUAAUUUGCUAUAGCUGAUAAUUUUAAGCAAAGUAUUAUAUAGACAAUGAGCACACACCAGCUGAACUAAUAGUGACAUGUGAACAUUACUUCACAAGUUUUUUAGACACACCAUCCUUAUUUUCUUAUGUGAAAAAAUGAAAUUAGAUGAAAUGAAUGUUUGAGGGGGGAAAUAAAGUACUGUUACGUUUAUGUACAAAAUAUGAAUUAAAUGCUUGAAAAUGUCUCUACAAAUGUAGCUUAAAAUGAAAUUUGAGCAAAUCUCAAUUGUGGGUUAGUUCAGGCAUCCACAGAAUCAAUAGUAACACUUAGCGAUUUUUAAGUUUUUCGUGUUAUCUUGAUGUGCAUUCAGAAUAUUUGUCACCGAAAACAUAUGUACCAUAUCCAUAAGACCAAGUUUAAUCUCUAUGUGCAUGAUUUAAGCGAGUAUGAAUGAGAGAGAAAGCAUUAAGAUUUUUCCUUUAGUAGCUUACCGAGAUAACCCCAGUUCUUCCAUGCACUCCAUUAAUUUGUUGUGCCUAAACAAUGUUGACAAAAAAAUCUUUCAAAUUAAUGACUCACCUCAUAUUUGUGCAAUAUACUAUACAAUGUUAGUUCAAUUACCCCCUGGACAAGAACCUCGCUGCCUUAACAUGGGAAGGGUUCUCCAACCAUUUACUGUAUUUAAUAAAGCUCUGCAUCCAAUAAGAGCAAACAUCUACUAGAUGGGGGAUAGCUUCAGCAUUUGGAGGAUCCUGUUGCUUAUUUCCAUGGCCAUGCGCCAGUUUUGGAGUGCUAAUAUUUCCUGGAUAGAAAGAAAGCCAGUCCAGCUCUUCGCAGACUACCUCUACAUACAAUUGGUAUGAACUUAUUGAUGAAAGCUGAGGAUAGUACAACACACUACCCCCAAUAAGGUACCUCAUGAAGCCUUCGAUAGGCUCAUCUAUGGCAUCAAAUCCAUUUGCAGAUAGAAAGGACUGUGAACUUCUUCCCAAUGCGAUAAAGAAUCCAAAAAUAGCCAAGUCCUUCUCCAAAACCUCAAUGCUUUCGGAUGUUGUUAGUCUUGACCAUAUUCUCUCCCUAUCUAUAGCUUGUUGCAGCUGCUUCUGUAUAAGAUUAACCCAGAAAACAACCUCUUCUGAACUACAAUCAUUCUUCACUCUGCAUGCAGCAGCUCGGGGACCAAAAUGGGCAAGAAAUUCUCCGCAUAGACCAAUAUCCUUUAUAUAGUGAUAAGCUUGGCGUAUGGGAAUGAGAUCAACCAGUAUGUCCAUCAAUUUGCCACUUAUAUCUGAGAUCAUGGAAAAGAAUUGUGGGCAAGAAACCUUUGAGGCACCAAGUUUUGUGAUUGCAGCAAUACAGCUCAGUGCAAGCAAGAGGAGUGCAACAUCACUUCCACUGCCUGAAUCCAAGGACAUGCCUUUACCCAACACAGCAGUGGCAGCAGUAAAACGUAGGUCCCCUUCAAAAUAAUUAACAAAUGAUGCCAUCACUGCUGGGACUUGCUCAGACCAAAACCAUUCAUUAGCCUCAGGAUGCUUCCCAGAAAGUUUUUCCCUGAUUAAACUCUCCAAGGGAGCAGAUUGUCGCAAUAAACUCUUUUGGACAAACAUAUUUACAUCCCUAUCACUUCCUUCACCUCGGGUUGAAAUCUCACAUGCUGCUUGCAAUAGAGAAUACACAGAAGCCUGGUAUGACAGUGUUUUCACCCAUGCAUUCCUGUCUGCACCAAGCCAAGAUGUUGAAAACCAGGAUAAUUUUGAAAGAAAACCCUGUUCUUUGAUCGCCAACUCAAAAACCCUGGCUGCAUCAUGUAAAGAUUGAACAAGUCUAUCACCAUAAUCUUCACCUUGCAAUGAAUGAUCGAGUUUGACUCUCAUUUCAUCCACGUUAGUACUGGUACUUGCUGGGGGACUUCCAUUAACAGUUACACCAUCAUCUGCAGUUGCAAAGCAAAAAAGGUGCCCUGCCCCUCUAGUUUUACAAUAGGCCACUUCUGGUUUCCUAUAUACAGUAAAACGAUGAUUGAGUCUGUGGUUGUCAUUCCCCAGAAAAGCAAGCCUCGUAAGGCAUCUUUUCCUUGAAUUACCCAAACUGCUCAAUAUGUAAUCCAAGUGACCCAUUCUUUUGCAAGAAACAUGUGGUCCAAUUGAAUUUCGAGAAAGGCAUGGAUUCGAAGAACUUGAAGAUAUGAAGGCAUGAUGCUGCAACUUAACUGCCGGAAACAUGUAAAAAAAGUGAGAAAUUCAACGGAAAAUGAAGCGUUUGGCCGUGGGAAAAUCAAGUGAAAGAGCCGUAGAAUAAAGAGAGAGGCCAAGCACGCGAGGAAGAGGCUGCUUUUGAUUGGUUUUUGGUAUCUGUGACUGUGGGUUGCAGCAGACGGUGACGUGGCGGCGAGACUUUUAUCCGUCUACGUGGAGACAGAAGCGAUCACAUAACUGAUGAUGGGAUGGGACGGCUCAG
rnacentral:misc_RNA from 1 species